GAUGAAGAACGUAGCGAAAUGCGAUACGUAGUGUGAAUUGCAGAAUUCCGUGAACCAUCAAAUCUUUGAACGCAUAUUGCGCUCGAGGCUUCGGCCGAGAGCAUGUCUGCCUCAGCGUCGGUAUUACCCCUCGCUUCUCAACCCCUGGUUGAUGCCUGCCUGCCUUUGCAGUUGGCUGGAAGCGGAUCUGGCUUUCCCAAUUGCCUUUGGUAGUUGGGUCAGCUGAAGCACAGAGGCUUGAGCAAGGACCCUUAUUGGGCUUCAACUGGAUAGGUAGAACUGGUCUUAGGACCAACUACACGAAGUUGUUGCUUGUGGUCUUUGUCUGGAGGCCAGCAGGAAACCUUUAUACCUUCGACCUGAGCUCAGGCAAGAUUACCCGCUGAACUUAAGCAUAUCAAUAAGCGGAGGA
rnacentral:misc_RNA from 1 species